GUGUGUGUGUGUGUGUGUGUGUGUAUAUCUAUAUAUCUAUAUGUAUAUAGAUAUAUAGAUAUAUACACACACACACACAC